AACGCACAUUGCGCCCGCCAGCACUCUGGCGGGCAUGCCUGUUCGAGCGUCAUUUCGACCCUCAGGCCCCCCCGGGGGACCUGGCGUUGGGGGCCGGCCCUGGCCGCCCCCGAAAUGCAGUGGCGACCCCGCCGCGGCCUCCCCUGCGUAGUAGCACACACCUCGCACCGGAGCGCGGAGGCGGUCACGCCGUAAAGCGACGAAAUCUCCUAGAGUUGACCUCGGAUCAGGUAGGAAUACCCGCUGAACUUAA
rnacentral:misc_RNA from 1 species